rnacentral:tRNA from 1 species
GGGAGAUGGCUUAGUGGUUGAGAGCACUGACUGUUAUUCAAAGGGCCCAGGUUCAAUUCCUAGCACCCA